rnacentral:lncRNA from 1 species
CUUAACCCGUGAUUGCUGGGGUUGGCUCUCGCUCCUCCAGGGGCCGUCGCUCUUUUACAAAGAGGGGUGGAGGUUGUUGUUGCUUUUUUUUUUUUUCCUUUAUGAAUGGAGGGCGGCGGCGACUGCUGCAGCUGGUUCAGCUGCGCGGGCUGUACCCCCUCCCAGCCUGCGAGAGGAGGAUGAUUUAAUUACAGUUAACAUCAGUGAUCCGAGAAUACAGAAAGCAAAGGAAGGCCCUGGGGGCCCUGGCGGUGCUUUCCUGCAUCUCGCAUCUGCAGGAAGCCAACUCAGCCAGGCGAGGGGUGGCAGAAGUCCCAGGAGCAGGAAGGAGCCAUGCGGAGUGGUCCUGCAAGUUAAGAUAGCCAGGGCGACAUGUCAGACCUAAGGUGAGAACUCUGUUCUGGCACUAGCCCCUAGGGUUUCUGGCUCAGUGUAUUGAGGUGUUUUGAAGCCUGGAAAUCUUGAAAAACAGAUGUACAAACAUUGACCACAGGCUGCUGGGGUUCAGUUCCACCCUUACAAGCUCUACAGCCUUG